rnacentral:rRNA from 1 species
AGAGAGAGACAUGCGCGCAUAUCAAUAAGCGGAGGAAAAGAAACUAACAAGGAUUCCCUUAGUAACGGCGAGUGAAGCGGGAAGAGCUCAAAUUUGAAAAUCUUCAAGGUUUUACCUUGACGAAUUGUAGUUUAAAGAAGUGUUUUCUGCUGAAGUUUUGGUAAAAGUUCUUUGGAAUAGGACAUCAUAGAGGGUGAGAAUCCCGUAUUUGACCAUUAUUUUCAGCUUUGUGAUACACUUUCAAAGAGUCGGAUUGUUUGGGAAUGCAGUCCAAAAUGGGUGGUAAAUUUCAUCUAAAGCUAAAUAUUGGCGAGAGACCGAUAGCGAACAAGUACCGUGAGGGAAAGAUGAAAAGAACUUUGAAAAGAGAGUUAAACAGUACGUGAAAUUGUCAAAAGGGAAGCGUUUGACACCAGUGUUGUUUUCUCGAAAAUCAAUUAAAAAUGGCUCGAUUUUGUAUUGUUGAGACCUUAAAAGCUCACUGUACAUUUUUCGUGUCUUUUUUAAUGCACUUUUCGUUUAACAAGUCAACAUCAGUUUCUUUUGUUGUAAAAGGGUCAUUGGAAGGUGGCUUUCUUUUCGGAGAAAGUGUUUAUAGCCUUUGGCCCCUGCAAUCGGAGAGACUGAGGUCUGCAGCGUAGACUCUUCGGGGUUAGAUACAUUUGUGCUAAGUUAUAGCUUUUUAUAGACAACUUGUUGACUAUAAUUAGUCUUGUAGCUUACUCGCUUAUGCUAUUUUACCUACGCUUAGGAUGUUGAAGUCAUCGUAUCGCG